AUGUUCGCUACUCAUUAUUUUGACACCGUUUGCGCACCGUAGUUGAGAACGAAUGCCGUAAUAUAUUUUUUAUUUUUUAUAAAUUUAAAACAAUGUAUUUGACUCAAAGUUAUCAAAUAUUAUAUCUUACCUUAUUUUUAGUGAAAUUUUGAUUUUAAACCAAUUUUAAAUGUCAAAUUAAUCCAGAAUAUACGACAAUAAUAUUUACGCGGUAUUUCGCCUAUUUCCGGCAUUGUUUACAUUGACACCAGACGACAUCAGAAGACCCGUCAACAGAUCGUUUACCAGUAUAUUUGAACAUUUUUUAACCAUUUUACAUCAAACUUUUAUAUCUUAUUUACUUUUAAUAUACAUCGAUGCUAUUUUUAUAAGAUCAUUAUUCAAUGGGGAGGUUUAGACACGGAUUUUUGUCUUGUAAACAAAAACAGAAAAUUGCGUCAAUUAGGAAGGGUCAGAACAUCAGACAAACGGCUCGAACAGUAUUACUAGAUCAUGCAUAUACAACUUCAUAUCCAUCGUCUUCAUAUAAACAACCAGACCUGUCAAAUUUUAUAAAUGAGGAAGUCAUAGAUGAAAACAAUGUUAACAUAACAUCAGACGACAGCUGGAGAAAUGGAAGAAGGGUCGUAGAACUUGGGGUAUUGGCAGAUCAUCUCGCUGCGUGCAAACAAUGUGGUCUUCCGCUCUCUUUACAAAACUGUUUAAACAUAACAACAUGUGGCCUGGCUGCUGUCUUGAAAGUUUUAUGUGUCAACCAAAGUUGUAAAAACAUCAAUGCCAUACCAACAGGAAAACAGCACAACAGAAUAUGGGAUGUAAAUACAAAGUUAGCAACAGCAUCAAUUCAUACUGGUCUUGGUGAAAGGCAAGUAAAUGGUUUUCUAUCCACGCUAAAUAUACCUCCAGUUAGCCACAGAAUGUUUGACCAACGACAAAAUGAAAUUGGAACAAUUCUUGAAGAAAUUGCAGAGAAAUCGAUGAAGGAAUGGACAGAGAAAGAAAAGAGUAUGACGAAAGAAUGUAGUGGAAACGACGACAUAACCGUAGCAGUUGAUGCAGGGUGGCAAAAAAGAGGUAGUGGCAGAUCGUAUGAUAGUCUCACAGGUCAUUGCUCAAUGAUUGGAACAAGAACAGGCAUGAUAUUAGAUUAUAGUUUAAGAUCAAGAACAUGCAGAGUAUGUGUGACAGCUAGAAGGAUGAAAAAGAUACCUAAAGUACAUACUUGCAGAAAGAAUUAUAGUGGGAGUUCCAAAGCAAUGGAAGCUGACAUGGUAGUACAAAUGGUAGCUGAUGCAAGAAUAAAAGGCAAAUAGAACAGCUGGUCUUUCACCUGGUGUUCACACAUCCAAAGUUAGCGCGCUGAGAGAUCUCCAGUACAAAAAGAGAAAGGCAAUAGCGAUUACAAAGAAGGCUAAACUGAGAAGAUUAGAGUUGAAGACAGAACGUAAUCAAGAUAUAUCAAGCUGUGAAGUGAGGGAAGGAAUCAGUUACCAGUCAGGCAUAGAUAUGGAAGAAUCUAGAUUGGAUCCUGAAAACAUAACAGAAAUACCCCCUCCUAGAACUUCAAGAAUAGAAGCCUCACCAAAGCAUGAUUGUGUUACAGAAAUUUUCUUUGACAUAGAAGCUACAGGACUAAGUAGAUCAUCCCAUAUCACACAAUUAGCAGCAAAGAGUGCAGCAGAAUCUUUUUCCAGAUUUGUCCUACCCCAGCACCAAAUAACACCAAAGGCGGCAGAGAUUACUGGAUUGACAUUUGAGAAUGGGCAGUUAUUAUCAAAUGGAAAUGUGUUGCCUGCUGUCCAUAUCAAAAAGUGCCUCAAUGACUUUAUUUCUUUUCUUGAAAAAACUAAUAACAAUGUUUUAAUUGGCCAUAAUGUUCAAACAUAUGACUGUGUGUUAUUGUACACUUCACUACAAAAAUGUAAUUUGCUUGAUAAAUUCAAGUCAACUGUGAUAGGCUUUAUUGACACAUUGCCAUUAUUUAAACUUUCUCAUCCAGGUCUGAAUUCUUAUUCACAGACAAAUUUGUUUGAAACAUUUAUGAGCAAAUCAUAUGAAGCCCACAGGGCUGAUGAAGAUGUUGAUGCACUAUGCACACUUGUCAAUAAGAAAAUUGAGUUAAAUGUUCAUUUUGAAAAAGUAUAUAUACCAGAAUGUGUCAUAUCAGACAAAUUCAAUUCUAUGAAAGAAUUGCAUAAAAAUUUGCCUUCUUUGAAGCUGUUGAUUGAUCGUAAGAUACUUUCAUUAGGAAUGGCACGUAUUAUUGCCAGUAGUGGACUGUGCUUAGAGCACUUGAAGUUGGCCUUUUCUAGGAAUGGUUGUAAAGGUAUAAAAGAUCUUUUCACAGAAAAGAGUGGUUCAGGUGUACGUGUCACAAAAUCAGAAAAGAUCAUAAGACAGGUUUCAGAUUUUUUGAAAGAAUGAUGUCAUUUUCAUGAACUUUUUGAUGUUGUUUUGAAUGUUUUUCAGUCCUUAGUUAUAUAUUUUUUAUGAAAAAAGGUCUUUGUUGUACCUAGUAUACAGUGAUCUAGAUUUAAAACAAAUUGUUUGGUUAAAAAAGAUAACAGUAUUUGAUAAAUUGACAUAUAUGUUAUGAAAAAUGUCUAAAUUUAAAUUUAGCGUAGUUUUUCAUGGAAUUUUGAUUUUUUUUCAGCUCUAAUUCAAAAUUUUGCACAUUGACCUAUACUUUUCUAUUAAUAAUAUCUUAAAAUAAAGUCUUGUGAAUUAUUUCUGAAUUGUUUUGAAAAUUUCUUGUUAUUUUAUAAAGGUUAAAUCAAAGGUUUCAUUUUGAUGUCAUUCUCUUUCCCGUACUUUUUUGUUUAUUUUUUUAUUACGGGAAAAACACAUUGACUAUAUGCCUUGAAUGCACAAUUUUUGUAGAAAUUGAAAUAAAGGUAUAUUUUUAUUGAUAUUAGAAUUAAAUAUAUUUACAUUUGUAUGAAUUGUUGUUGUAAUUGAAACUUCAAUGCAGAUGUUCCAAUUCUUUGAAAAUACCGGAUUUUUCAAUACUGACAUUAUGAGUGACCAUAAAUGCCAUCCUUACGAAAAAUAUAGCGCAUUGACCUAUAUUUUUUUUUUCAUUUUUCCACUCCCAUAUGAAAGGAGUUAUAAAAAAACACAACAGGAAAACUUUCUUGUUAUUUUGAAUUUCAGUAGCGA